UACGAACUGUGCGAACGUUAUUCGGAUUCACUGGGCUUAAAGGGUGCGUAGGCGGCCAUUCAAGUAGGGUGUGAAAUCCUCCGGCUCAACCGGAGAACGGCGCUCUAAACUGGAUGGCUGGAGUAAGUCAGGGGUGUGUGGAACUUCCGGUGGAGCGGUGAAAUGUGUUGAUAUCGGAAGGAACGCCGGUGGCGAAAGCGACACACUGGGGCUUAACUGACGCUGAGGCACGAAAGCCAGGGGAGCGAACGGG
rnacentral:rRNA from 1 species